CAGCAGUCGCCGCGGUAAUACGAAGGGUGCAAGCGUUAAUCGGAAUUACUGGGCGUAAAGCGUGCGUAGGCGGUUUGUUAAGUCUGUUGUGAAAUCCCCGGGCUCAACCUGGGAAUGGCAAUGGAUACUGGCAAGCUAGAGUGUGUCAGAGGAUUGUGGAAUUCCCGGUGUAGCGGUGAAAUGCGUAGAGAUCGGGAGGAACAUCAGUGGCGAAGGCGGCCAUCUGGGACAACACUGACGCUGAGGCACGAAAGCGUGGGGAGCAAACAGGAUUAGAUACCCGCGUAGUCCCUGUCUCUUAUAC
rnacentral:rRNA from 1 species